ensembl:lncRNA
ACCAGUCCAUGCUAAAGAAAUCAAUCCUGAAUAUUCAUUGGAAGGACUGAUGCUGAAGCUGAAGCUGAAGCUCCAAUACUUUGUCCACCUGAUGUGGAGAACUGACUCCUUAGAAAAGACCUUGAUGCUGGGAAAGAUUGAAGGCAGGAGGAGAAGGGGACGACAGAGGAUGAGAUGGUUGGAUGGCAUCACUGACUCAAUGGACAAGAGUUUGAGCAAGCUCCAGCUAUUGGUGAUGGACAAGGAAGCCUGGCGUGCUGCAGUCCAUGGGGUCGCAAAGAGUUGGACACAACUGAGUGACUGAACUGACAAUACCUGGAUCACCUUUGAGUUGGUGCUUGGUGACUUCGUCCUGAAAGUCAGAGAUAUAAGAAAGGGCUACAUGAUAGAGAAUGCUCUUUAUUGGGACUCAGCCUCCAAUCAACAAGGAAGCCCAGGCAAUACAUAGGGAGGACAGGUGGAAGAGAACCAGGGUCCCUGGCCACCAGCUCCAACUAAACUCCCAUCUGGAAGCCAGAAAUGACUUCCAACCAUAUGUCUGAGGCCACUUGGACCUUUGCACCAUCCAAGUACUCCAGCCAAUAACACACGAAGCAGAAGAAUUGCUCAUUCAACCAAAAUGGGAGAAAAAUGGAAAAUACCACUUGCAUAAGAAGGAAGGACGGAUGUCUGCACCCAGUUCCCUAAAUCCAAGUUCAGAAGGCCACUCAAGCUGCCCAUGUGGCAUCUGUCCAGCAGUGGAGCUCACAUCUGCGCAGCUCUGAGCAAGCCACCUGCCCACUGUAGCUGCCCUUCUCACUGACCUGCCGCUCUCAGGGGAUGUGUUAUCAAUGCUCCAUAUCAGGUGCAGAAGAGACAUCGAUGAAGACCAUUCUACACACAUUUCUCCUCAAGCAACAAAUACAAAGAAACUAUAUGAGACAAAAUAUAACUGUCUCCAUACUGCAGUUGGGGCAAACUCCGGACCCAAAGAUACAAAGAGACCAAAAAAACCCAAUUGCUACUUUUGAGGCGCCUGGAGCAAAUGCGCUACUGCACCUGCCCCUUUGUACACCACCACCUCAGAGGUGAGCAAAACACCUAAGCCAUCCCUCCUUCCGGGACUUCUGGACACACCGCUACCCUCACCCCACUUAAGGAAAAGCUUGCCACCCCUUAGGGAGCGAGCCAAGAAGGGAACCUGUUGUUUGUUCUCACCCCCUCCCUCCCCAAUAAAAUCUUGCCUGGAUUUCUUGUCUGGCCUCUAGUCAUUUUCUAUUGAUUGGCCAAGGUCAAGGAUCCUGGGUAACAUUACUACCC